UGUCCUCAGUGGUGUGUAUGUAUGUGCUAGGCAGCCUGGGGACCGCCUGUGUCUCUGCCAACCCCCCACCCCCGCCGUUACUUUCUUUUCUGGAGUGCCAUGCUGGCGAGGAUCCCGAUGCGGCAGCACCCUCUUUCGGGCUGCGUCCACAGAGCUUGUGUCCACACUUUCUCUCCGAGCACGUGGGUCUCGCCGAGCAGUCAUGGAAUGCGGUGGAGCCAGGGGACCCUGUCCGUCCCUGAUAACUUUCAGUAGUAUGGCAGAUGGCAUGGAGAAGGGGAAGGGGCUCUGGGGACUGCUCCUAUGAAAGCCUCCUCGAGCCAGGUGCUCCUGGGCACCUUCCGAGGUGAUGUUCUCUGUGCUCCACAGCUUACCUGCUUGCCAAGGUGUGUCUGGGUAGUAAUUUCUGGAAAUGACUACAGACUCUGCCAAAUGUCUUUUGAGCUUCUGACCUGACCAUGCCCAGAUGGCUUAACUUUUCCCUAGGACCCUCACUCUCCUUGUUUCUCUGUGUCUGUAGCAUAGCAUAGAACCUGGUAUACAGGGGUUUCUGCUGACGCAUCAAUGUCUACACAUCUACACGCCACAUUUUACAGCUGUAAAAUGUUAGAUGAACUGCCAUCCUCAGUAAAAACAGCCACCCCUUCAACAGUCACAGGCAUCCAUCCAGUUAUAUCUUUCAGAGAAAAAAAAAACAAAGAUGUAGCCAAGGAAAGUAGUGAUCACGGGAAGGACUGCUCUGAGCCAGGUAGGAUGGAAGACUUUGGAAGAGGUGCUCCUUGGCCAGGCCCAGGAGUGCCCAGCAUCCCCCAGCUGAUGACACAGUAGCACUGAUUCUGUCUUUUCCUCAGAAUCUGGCCUUUUUCCAUGGCAAUGAAGUAGGGCCCAGCCUCCUCUAAAGUGGCUUUGUUUCUGCACAGUUGUAACUGCUCUUGGGGGUGUCAGUGAGGCCGGGGGCAGGGAGCCACGGGAUGCUGAGAGAGGAGGCCCGAGAGGACACCCCACCGUCCAGCGUGGCCUUUGAUCCAGACCUUAGGGACGAGGCUGUCACUGGUGGGCACCCUCUGUUCCUGUUUGUGUGUUUGAAUAGUCUGAAAUGCUGUGACUUUUUUUUGUGAAUAAAGAUACGAACC
rnacentral:lncRNA from 1 species